rnacentral:rRNA from 1 species
AUUACUCCUACGGGAGGCAGCAGUGGGGAAUAUUGGACAAUGGGCGCAAGCCUGAUCCAGCCAUGCCGCGUGAGUGAUGAAGGCCCUAGGGUUGUAAAGCUCUUUCACCGGUGAAGAUAAUGACGGUAACCGGAGAAGAAGCCCCGGCUAACUUCGUGCCAGCAGCCGCGGUAAUAAU